GGGGGAGAGAUAAGAAAAUUUCAAGAAUUCCAAAGUUCCUGGCAUUUCAUUUCACUUGCAGAAAUUCACUAUCAGAUUGACUGCUGAUUAAAGUGCUAAUCAAUGAUUUAUUUAUUCCUAGAUUGACAGAUUUUUUAAAUGUAAUAUAUAUUGUUUUAUCAAAGUGUAUAUAAAAACUAUAUCAAUUUUAAUUAGAAAGCAUUUUCAUAAAAAUACAUUGAGCUUUUGAUAAAAAGAUACACCAACUUAUAAUUGGAACACAAAUGCAUAUUAUGUACUAAUCGCGGAAUUAACAGCCUCCAUGUAUCUAUGCAUUAAUGCGUCAUUAUUACAGAAUUAGAUAUGUAUCGCAUUCAUCAUCCCACUGAGGUAAUUUGAGACCACAGAAUUGUUCUCCAAUAAUUAUCAUGUGAUUACUAUUUUAAUGAACUGGGACAACCAUUUUAUGAAUGUGAAUCGUUUGUCUAAUUAAUUAAUUAGGCAUUGGACCAGAGAAAAAAUGAAACUGACAUUUGAUGUUGAUACAAAUUGCCAUGAUCCAUAAUUUGUGUGUAUACUCAUGUAGAACAAAUAAAAGUUGUAAACAU
rnacentral:sRNA from 1 species